UGGGGAAUUUUGGACAAUGGGCGCAAGCCCGAUCCAGCCAUGCCGCGUGCGGGAAGAAGGCCUUCGGGUUGUAAACCGCUUUUGUCAGGGAAGAAAUCUUCUGAGUUAAUACCUCGGGAGGAUGACGGUACCUGAAGAAUAAGCACCGGCUAACUACGUGCCAGCAGCCGCGGUAAUACGUAGGGUGCAAGCGUUAAUCGGAGUUACUGGGCGUAAAGCGUGCGCAGGCGGUUUUGUAAGACAGAGGUGAAAUCCCCGGGCUCAACCUGGGAACUGCCUUUGUGACUGCAAGGCUUGAGUGCGGCAGAGGGGGAUGGAAUUCCGCGUGUAGCAGUGAAAUGCGUAGAUAUGCGGAGGAACACCGAUGGCGAAGGCAAUCCCCUGGGCCUGCACUGACGCUCAUGCACGAAAGCGUGGGGAGCAAACAGGAUUAGAUACCCUGGUAGUCCACGCCCUAAACGAUGUCAACUGGUUGUUGGGAAGGUUCCUUCUCAGUAACGUAGCUAACGCGUGAAGUUGACCGCCUGGGGAGUACGGCCGCAAGGUUG
rnacentral:rRNA from 1 species